rnacentral:rRNA from 1 species
CCUACGGGUGGCUGCAGUGGGGAAUAUUGGACAAUGGGGGGAACCCUGAUCCAGCCAUGCCGCGUGUGUGAAGAAGGCCCUCGGGUUGUAAAGCACUUUCAGUGAGGAAGAACGCCUGGUGGUUAAUACCCAUCAGGAAAGACAUCACUCACAGAAGAAGCACCGGCUAACUCCGUGCCAGCAGCCGCGGUAAUACGGAGGGUGCGAGCGUUAAUCGGAAUUACUGGGCGUAAAGCGCGCGUAGGUGGCUUGAUAAGCCGGUUGUGAAAGCCCCGGGCUCAACCUGGGAACGGCAUCCGGAACUGUCAAGCUAGAGUGCAGGAGAGGAAGGUAGAAUUCCCGGUGUAGCGGUGAAAUGCGUAGAGAUCGGGAGGAAUACCAGUGGCGAAGGCGGCCUUCUGGACUGACACUGACACUGAGGUGCGAAAGCGUGGGUAGCAAACAGGAUUAGAUACCCCAGUAGUU